UUCUCAAUUUUAGAGUCAUACUAACGCAGCAAAACUCUGGCAUGUCACGAGACGUCUGUUCCGAUUGUGGAAGUCAAGUUGUCACAUUGGAAUCCGAGGAAGAAGACAAGUUCGUUACUGCAAAGUUCAUUUCGUUAUAUGAAAAUGGAUCUGUUGGAUACUGGCUGGGCAUUAAGAAAACAGAAAAUGGAUCUCUUCCCAAUGUGAGCUACAACAACUUCAGCCCAGUUGAAAUGAAUGGCGGCCUAAAUGAGAUGUGUUUCGGCGUCUAUGAAGCAGCAAACUGGACUUGGGUGGACCUGAGGUGUGAUAUGAAUUAUAACAUUCACGUUGUCUGCGAAACGGUUCCAUGAAUACACCCGUGUAUUAGAAUGUAUAACAUAAGGAGUGGGGUAUUGAAAUACUCAACACACUUAGGAAAUACGAUUUCUGAAAAGUUUAAAGCAAAUUAAUGUACCCUAUUUGGAACAAUUGAUAAUUAAACAUACUUAACUUAUGUGUUUUACGUGAAUAACAGCAUUCAAAAAAUAUUGCAAAAAAUAUACAUGAAGAACAACUUUAUACAACUGAAUAUUCAAACAUUAAAUUAAAGUAGAUAACAAGCUACUGGUGUAAACUAUUUCGAUAUGUUCUGAAACUGAUAUGCUAAUUAGUUUUUCAUAGAACUGCAACUUCAACUUUAUCGUCGUAUACGCAGUUUUCUUAGUGUCUUAAUCUUAUUGAUUAUGUAUUCCAUUAUUUUGCAAGUGAUCGCCUGUCUACUUUUUUGCAAGACUGUUUGGUUUGUGUUUAUUCACGUGAGUAUACGCCACGUUGCUUUCAAAUCUAGAUAUUUUGCAUCGUUUUCCUUUUCAUGUCCUAUUUACUUUUUUCCGUCAUGAAUACAAAUGUAAAUGUUGAUGUCUUUAAAUUCACUGCUUGAUCUGGCAAUUCUUUAUCAACAAUAUUUAAAAUAGUGUGUAAUUUACGAGAAUAUACAUUAAAUUUAAAUCGGUUGUUUGCAUGGCAAUAACUUUAAUAUGACGUUAGCAGACAUCCAUGUCAACAACGAAGUGCAAGAAAGUGAGUGUUUGAAUCAUAGGCCAGUCAAUCAUGGGCCAGCAAACAAGCAUCCAUAAACUACGUUACCUCUCCGAUCACAUGUUGAUCUUAUCAAGGAGAUAUUAUCAUAAAAAUCUAAUGUUAUUUACUCAAAUUGACAGCCUUUGGUGUAAGUUUAACCAAUCAACGCAAGCCAUGCACCAUUGCCCCAAUAUGACCAUGCUCAUUACAAACUGGGCAAAAAAUAACAAAUACUCUUUGUGAUCAUAUGUUAACUUUAUCUGGUCAAUGCAACCAAUUAUAACAAUUAUUCGUGAUUAAAAUGCAUACUAUGAUCAAUAGAAGACUAUCGAGUGUUGUGUUACGCUUUUUGUGCUUUGACUUAAAAAAGGUUUCAUUUCAUAUGUUUUUAUAAUUGUAUAAAUCAGUUCUUUAUUUGGUAAAGGAAAAAGUGUGUUCGCUGUUAAUAAUGUUUAUCUUAUGUUCGCAGUGCUUUUUCAACGGUCUUCAAGACCGGUUACUCUAAAUUCGAAAGAGAGCGUUAUUCUUGGUAAUUAAUUGAUCUUAUUGUGGCUGUCAGGAAAUGUUAAGAUAACGUGUAAGUGCUAUACAAACACGCAAUUAUUGACGAUAUGGAAUAUUGUACAAUCGACCUAUUUAUAUGCGUCUUGU